ACGGGAGGCAGCAGUGGGGAAUAUUGGACAAUGGGCGAAAGCCUGAUCCAGCGACGCCGCGUGAGUGAAGAAGUAUUUCGGUAUGUAAAGCUCUAUCAGCAGGGAAGAUAAUGACGGUACCUGACUAAGAAGCACCGGCUAAAUACGUGCCAGCAGCCGCGGUAAUACGUAUGGUGCAAGCGUUAUCCGGAUUUACUGGGUGUAAAGGGAGCGCAGGCGGGACUGCAAGUUGGAUGUGAAAUGUCGAGGCUUAACCUCGGAACUGCAUCCAAAACUGUAGUUCUUGAGUGGAGUAGAGGCAAGCGGAAUUCCGAGUGUAGCGGUGAAUGCGUAGAUAUUCGGAGGAACACCAGUGGCGAAGGCGGCUUGCUGGGCUCUAACUGACGCUGAGGCUCGAAAGUGUGGGGAGCAAACAGGAUUAGAUACCCUGGUA
rnacentral:rRNA from 1 species